rnacentral:tRNA from 1 species
GUUCAAAUAGCUUAUAAAUUAGAGUAUAGUAUUGAAGAUACUUUGGAAGAUUAAAUUAUCUUUUGA